rnacentral:tRNA from 1 species
AAUGAAGUGCCUGAUUAAAAGGGUUAUUUUGAUAGAAUAGAUUAUGUGGUAUCCACCUUCAUUA